CAGCCCUCCAGGGAUGGUGACUCCAGCACUGCCCUGCGCAGCCUGUUCCAAUGCCCCACAGCUCUUUGGGGAAGAAAUUGUCCCCACAUCCAACCUCAACCUCCCCUGGCGCAACUUGAGGCCGUUUCCUCUGCUCCUGGCGCUUGUUCCUGGGGAGCAGAGCCCGACCCCCCUGGCUCCAAGCUCCUUUCAGGCAGUUCAGAGAUCAGAAGGUCUCCCCUCAGCUCCUGUUCUCCAGCUGAACCCCCCAGGUCCCUGGGAUAAGGUUGUGGCUCCACAAGACACAGGGGGUUGUUGGUUGGAUCCAGCAUCUCCAGUUCCAGUGUUUAUAAAGGAAGCUGAAGUGGAUUACAGAGGCCACGAGGUCGAGCAGAGGGAAGAGAGGAGCUCAACACACCAAGACACAAGUGAAACACUUGUUGAUGACACAAGGAGCAAAGCCACAGAAAGAUCUCACAGGGAGUGACAGAGCUACAGAAAAUCAGCAUCUCCUGUGCUUGCUGAGCAAGAGGGUUCAGCUGGUCGGGUCUCCCAGGGACAACAUGGCAACCCAGAGCCCAGUGUGACCCAGGAGGUGCACACACACAGCGCAGCCCCAGCCCUGACUCCAGCUGGGGAUUUUACCAGCAAACUCAGACACAACCUGGGGGCAGCAUCCAGCUGGGGUUUUGGUGCCAAUCCCAGCUCCCAGCUGGCACAGGGACACAGCCAUGAGACUCACCUGGCUGCAUCACCCAAAACUUCCCAUCUGCAUCCCUAAACAUCUCCUAGGAGAAACAAACACAUCCCCCAGAACCCCC